rnacentral:tRNA from 3 species
GUCCUCGUAGCUCAGUGGAUAGAGCGUUUGGUUGCGGUCCAAAAGGUCGCAGGUUCGACUCCUGCCGGGGACACCA